rnacentral:rRNA from 1 species
ACGAACGCUGGCGGCGUGCUUCACACCUGCCAGUCGAACGCUGAAGCUUGGUGCUUGCACUGGGUGGAUGAGUGGCGAACGGGUGAGUAAUACGUGAGUAACCUGCCCUUGACUCUGGGAUAAGCCUGGGAAACUGGGUCUAAUACUGGAUACGACAUGUCACCGCAUGGUGGUGUGUGGAAAGGGUUUUACUGGUUUUGGAUGGGCUCACGGCCUAUCAGCUUGUUGGUGGGGUAAUGGCUCACCAAGGCGACGACGGGUAGCCGGCCUGGGAGGGUGACCGGCCACACUGGGACUGAGACACGGCCCAGACUCCUACGGGAGGCAGCAGUGGGGAAUAUUGCACAAUGGGCGGAAGCCUGAUGCAGCGACGCCGCGUGAGGGAUGACGGCCUUCGGGUUGUAAACCUCUUUCAGCACGGAAGAAGCGAAAGUGACGGUACGUGCAGAAGAAGCGCCGGCUAACUACGUG